GUGUGGGAGCCAGCCAUGAUGUGCAUCAACACUCUGACAGCAGCUUCUGAGGCUGCGUGCCUGAUUGUGUCUGUGGAUGAGACUAUCAAGAACCCCCGCUCCACUGUGGAUGCUCCAGCUCCAGCAGCUGGCCGGGGCAGAGGCCAGGGCCGCUUCCAUUGAGAGGCAGUCUGCAUACCUCCUUGUGAGGUGUAUUGGGGGGGUGAGAAAAAUGGUUAGUCUUAACUGUGCUCUCACUGGAGGUUAUUUAAAUAAAAACUAAGGUUACUUGGUCAAACAAAAAA
rnacentral:lncRNA from 1 species